rnacentral:rRNA from 1 species
GUAGGUGGCAAGCGUUGUCCGGAAUUAUUGGGCGUAAAGCGCGCGCAGGCGGUCCUUUAAGUCUGAUGUGAAAGCCCACGGCUCAACCGUGGAGGGUCAUUGGAAACUGGGGGACUUGAGUGCAGAAGAGGAGAGUGGAAUUCCACGUGUAGCGGUGAAAUGCGUAGAGAUGUGGAGGAACACCAGUGGCGAAGGCGACUCUCUGGUCUGUAACUGACGCUGAGGCGCGAAAGCGUGGGGGGAGCGAACAGGAUUAGAUACCCUGGUAGUCCACGCCGUAAACGAUGAGUGCUAAGUGUUAGAGGGCUUCCGCCCUUUAGUGCUGCAGCUAACGCAUUAAGCACUCCGCCUGGGGAGUACGGUCGCAAGACUG